GGGAAAGAAGCUCAGUGGUAGAGUGCUUGCCUCAUAUGCAUGAGGCCCUGGGUUCAAUUCCUCAGCACCA
rnacentral:tRNA from 1 species